GAUGAAGAACGCAGCGAAAUGCGAUAAGCAAUGUGAAUUGCAGAAUUCAGUGAAUCAUCGAAUCUUUGAACGCACAUUGCGCCCGCCAGUAUUCUGGCGGGCAUGCCUGUUCGAGCGUCAUUACAACCCUCAGGCCCCCGGGCCUGGCGUUGGGGAUCGGCGGAGCCCCCCGUGGGCACACGCCGUCCCCCAAAUGCAGUGGCGGUCCCGCCGCAGCUUCCAUCGCGUAGUAGCUAACACCUCGCGACUGGAGAGCGGCGCGGCCACGCCGUAAAACACCCAACUCUUCUGAAGUUGACCUCGAAUCAGGUAGGAAUACCCGCUGAACUUAAGCAUAUCAAUAAGCGGAGGA
rnacentral:misc_RNA from 1 species